UACGGGGGGGGCAAGCGUUGUUCGGAAUUACUGGGCGUAAAGGGCUCGUAGGCGGCCAACUAAGUCAGACGUGAAAUCCCUCGGCUUAACCGGGGAACUGCGUCUGAUACUGGAUGGCUUGAGGUUGGGAGAGGGAUGCGGAAUUCCAGGUGUAGCGGUGAAAUGCGUAGAUAUCUGGAGGAACACCGGUGGCGAAGGCGGCGAUCCUGGACCAAUUCUGACGCUGAGGAGCGAAAGCCAGGGGAGCAAACGGGG
rnacentral:rRNA from 1 species